GUGGCCUCGCGUGAUGUUACUGGGCAGAGAUUUGAGCGCUAGUGCCUCAAACAUUAAGUAAUGUUAUGAACAAUGCCAUCGAAAAAACUCAGCUCUGCAAGGCGUCAAAUUGAGCUAAUUUAAUUCCAUUUAAGAGGAGACUUUUGGAGUGAAAUAGUACUACCCCUUGUUCUCUGCUGGAUGGGCUAUUAUUCUGUAGGUCCUGUUAGUUGUAUCAUUUUUCCAGAUUUCCACUCACUUCUGCCUGGAUAUUACUAACACGCUAUUUUAUUU